rnacentral:tRNA from 1 species
UCCUCGGUGAUCUAGCAGUAGGAUGCCGCUCUGUUAAAGCGGCUGCGUUGGUGCGAAUCCAACCUGAGGAGCCA